GUUUGGUCAAACUUCGAAUUGAACGCUGGCGGGAUGCUUUACGCAUGCAAGUCGAACGCGUGGCAGCACGGACUUCGGUCUGGUGGCGAGUGGCGAACGGGUGAGUAAUGUAUCGGAACGUGCCUAGUAGCGAGGACUCUUCGCUGGCAUCGCUAAUACCGCAUACGCCCUUCGGGGAAAGCGGGGGACCGGGCCUCUGCCUGUCGACGGCGAUAUCGGUUAAAGCCGUUACGGUGAGGUAACGGCUCACCAAGGCGACGAUCCAUGUAGCUGGUUUGAGAGGACGACCAGCCACGCUGGGACUGAGACACGGCCCAGACUCUUACAGGAGGCAGCAGUGGGGAAUUUUGGACAAUGGGGGAAACCUGAUCCAGCCAUCGCGUGUGCGAUGAAGGCCUUCGGGUUGUAAAAGCACUUUGACAGGAAAGAAACAGCACAGGAUAAUACCCCGUGCAACUGACGAAACACCUGCAGAAUAAGCACCGGCUAACUACGUGCCAGCAGCCGCGGUAAUACGUAAGGGUACAAGCGUUGUCGGAAUUACUGGGCGUAAAGCGUGCGCAGGCGGUUCGGAAAGAAAGAUGUGAAAUCCCAGAGCUUAACUGAACUGCAUUUUUAACUACCGAGCUAGAGUGUGUCGGAGGGAGGUGGAAUUCCGCCAAUGUACUUGGUGAGAACAGUGGACUGUGGAGGAGCACCGAUGGCGAAGGCAACCUCCUGGGAUAACACUGACGCUCAUGCACGAAAGCGUGGGAGCAAACAGGAUUAGAUACCCUGGUAGUCCACGCCUAAACGAUGUCAACUAGCCUGUUGGGGCCUUCGGGCCUUGGUAGCGCAGCUAACGCGUGAAGUUGACCGCAGGAGAUACGGUCGCAAGAUUAAAACUCAAAGGGGUGACGGGGACCCGCACGAGCGGUGGAUGAUGUGGAUUAAUUCGAUACAACGCGAAAAACCUUACCUACCCUUGACAUGUCUGGAAUCCCGAAGAGAUUUGGGAUGCUCGCAAGAGAACCGGAACACAGGUGCUGCAUGGCUGUGUCGGCUCGUGUCGUGAGAUGUUGGGUUAAGUCCGCAACGAGCGCAACCCUUGUCAUUAGUUGCUACGAAAGGGCACUCUAAUGAGACUGCCGGUGACAAACCGGAGGAAGGUGGGGAUGACGUCAAGUCCUCAUGGCCCUUAUGGAGUGGGGCUUACCGUCAUACAAUGGUCGGGACAGAGGUCGCCAGCGCGAGGGGGAGCCAAUCCCAGAAACGAUCGUAGUCCGGGUCGCAGUCUGCAACUCGACUGCGUGAAGUCGAAUCCGCUAGUAAUCGCGGAUCAGCAUGUCGCGGUGAAUACGUUCCGGGUCUUGUACACACCGCCCGUCACACCAUGGGAGUGGGUUUUACACCGAAGUAGUUAGCCUAACCGUAAGGAGGGCGAUUACCACAGUAGGAUUCAUGACUGGGGUGAAGUCGUAACAAAAUGCUCUGUUACUACCUGGGUAUAAGAACCAUGCAAUGUGCAUUUAGUUUCGGUUACGUAUUGCUUGAAAUGAUAUAAGAAACAAAACUAGCAAAUGACUUUGAAAUGUAGUUGAAGAAGAAACUUUCCAUGUUAAAUGUAUUCAGAAGGUACAUCUUUAAGAAUUCAGCAGAGUAUGUACAUGGAUUAUUCUUCUUGCAUAUCAAGACAAUGAAAGCACUACAAUUUGGACCAAUUCCUAGAUCUUUUAUAUUUCCCCUAAACUCUUGGGGCCCCAAUAGCAAAGUGACACAUCAACGACAGCAACAACAAAUAAAAACCUAAAAACUUUUGUGUUGGAGUUAUUUACUUAGGUCUUCUCCACUUCAUGGGAAGCGUUGAGCUCCACUGUUGAGCUCCACAACAGUGGAAUCUUAUUUAUCUCCAUCUUCCCAGUUUCACUGCUGGUACACAGGGAGCAAAUCAGACUUCCCCCAUAGUUCAACUUUGAGUGCUCUGUUCUUCAUCAAACAAAGUGCAUAUUAUGUGAUAAUAUCUUGAAAUGUUCUGUCUUUUCCAAUUUCCUCCCAUUCUGUUCACUCAAAUUGCCUUCCCUACCAAACCUCAUCCAUGAAAUCCUAUAUAUAUGUUACUGUGUACUAUUUACUUAUUUACUACAAGACACUGCUUUAUUCUAAACUUACUCAUGAAUUUCCCUGAAUAUUUGCUUCACCUUUCCCUCUCCUAAAUUACAUGUCAGUGUUUCUGAGUUUCUUAUUCCAGACUUCACACUAUAGGACUUUUUUUUUUUAGUGUACUUGUCAUAUCCCCUUUUCAAGGAGAGGUUCUGAGUUCUUAUCAAUUCAUUACCUAGUAUAUAAUGAGAGUUCAGCCUAGUUUAAAGAACAAAAUGAGACAGAAAACUGACAAUGCAUACCUUAGGAACAUGUAGAAGAGAUUCAUUUGGGAUCAAAGCAGAAGGAAGAAGAUGUAUAUCUCAUCACCUUAGUUUAUUAGACUAGGUUGAGAAGCAAAGUGAAAACAGAAAUUGUAUUUGAUUUAUGUAGACUGUGUCUUCAGGCUUGGGAAAUUUUCUAUUAUUGUAACAUAGUCUUGAAGAGUCAGUGCAGUGUUGCUGUGGCCCUGGACAGAAGUUGGCUUUAUAAUUUUUACAUGCUUCCAGUUCCUUGAUAUUGAGGCAACAGUAUCUCCCAUUUUCACAUAGUGCCUCAGGCACUUCAUUUACUCUGCAGAUUUACCUCCUGCAAUGUCAUACAUAGUUAUUAGCACUUCUUAAGUUGUUCAGUUACUAUACACAGAAAGGAGCAAUAGAACAAUAUCAGUGUUUGAGACUGAAGGCAUGUUGGUUUUGGGGAAGACAGAGGAGGCUUGUAGGAAUUAGAAAUUUAUGGGGUAUCUAAGGCAGACCCUCAUAUAUUCUGAGGAUUUUCUAAGAAUAGAGUCAACCUCAGUGUUUGUAUUUAACUGGAUCACUUAUAUUUAGGUCCUGCUGAGGUUUUAGGCCUCCCUUAACAUCUGAUAGACUUCUGCCAAGAACAUAGAUCUUAUCUGAGAAAAUAAAGACUAAGACCCAUAGUUCUAUUAUGGAACUAUGCUCUAUGCAUAGGAACCUCAGCAAAUCUGCACUGCAUCCUGAAUGCUCCCAGAGCUGCUACUGCACCUCCUCUGAUGCCCAGAGAACAAUGUAUUGUUACUAUGUGUUUAUGUCUGAAUCAAACUGUUCUCCUGAGUUCAAACCCACUAUCAGGGUCAGAAUGACUUUCAUGUUAUCCAGUAAGGUAGUAGUCUAUUGGGUCUUAGGAAUGUAGAGGGUCAGAAUAGGCCAUUACUAUUCUUAUAAUAAAGGACACAUGUAAGAAAUCUGGUUUUUGAAAGAGGAAAGGAAACUCUAAUUUUUGAGUUCUCAGUAUACAACAUCAGCUUCACAUAGGUUAUAUCAUUUAAUAAAACCCUAAGCAGCAGAUGUGUUAUCUCCAUAGAUGAUAGAAACUGAGGCUCUAGAGUGCCUUCCUACUUAAAGUUGACAAACUAGUAGAUGUGAAGGCAUGUUUCUUAAACCUAACUCCAAAAUUUGCUUCUUCUACACUCUAUUCAUGCGCGCACACACACACACACACACACAUAUAUAUUUGAGUAAAAGGAAAUAUAGCUGAGCAUCAGAGUAAAAACCAUAUCCAGAACAUAAAGGUAUCCCUAGAUAUUGGCAUCAUUCCUUUCUAUAACAACACAUCUUUCCCAGAAGAAAUUAUGACCUCUUUUUAGCUCAGUGAGUACUCCUCUUUAAGGAUAGUAACAUGGAAUAAGGCUCCAAGAAAUUUCUGAUGAUGUUGAAUAAACUUUAGCCAUCUUUGGGGGCUCUAUUUCCACUGUGUGGAUUAUGAAGUUCCCUUUGGCUCCUGAAAAUGCUCCAUCCCACUGUUGAUUUGAGUGAGCUUCUGGUUUAGUUUACCUGUGGGUUUCUGGAAUGUGAGAAUUGCAAUGAUCAUGAAGAGCCCCAUGGCCAGGCUUUCCAGAAGAGGUGCAGCCAAAGCUUUUGGUCCAGUGAACUGCACACUAUGCUACCUUCCUCAAGACUUGGAAUUCUUAUGCACUGAACCAGAACAGAUGGGAUGAUGAAGUGUCCUUAAGCAGCUACAGACAGAGCUUUGCAUCAUGCAGGCAGACUGAAAUUUGAGGCCACCCACUUUACCCCCACAUGGAAUAGAGAUACAGCAUGUUCCAUCCAUCGCACCAAAUGCCGCUCUGUAGGCUGUGAGACUGCUGGGAAGAAUCUGGAAUUUUCCUGCUUUGACUCUCAUAGCCGGACACGGGAUCCGGGAAAUGUACUCACACUCCAAGAAUAGAUGUGGCAGUAUAAACCAGGACAUAAAUCUGAAACUCUAACAAUAAGAAAUUUCUAUUAGGUUUCUUACAUUUAGAAGGAGUUAUGAUGUAGUUGGGUCUGAUCUGAGGUCACCUGAUUUUUUAUAAAAGCAGAACAUACACUGGGAAAGGAUACCCUCUUCAAUAAAUCAUGCUGGAGAAACUGGAUUUCCAUGUGCAGAAGAAUAUAUAUUAUGUAUAUAUAUGUACACAUAUAUACAUAUAUGUACGCACAAUGGAAUACUAUACAUACAUAACACACAAUGGAAUAUAUAUAUAUAUAUACACACACACACAAUGGGAAUACUAUUCACCCAUAAAAAUAAUGAAAUUCUAUCUAUUUGCAACAACAUGGAUGGCCUGGAGGACAUUAUGUUAUGGGUGAAUAGUAUUCCUGUAUAUAUAUAUACAUUCCAUUGUGUGUUAUGUAUGUAUGGUAUUUUUCCAUUGUGUACAUAUGUGUAUAUAUGUGUGUAUAUAUAUAUACAUAAUAUAUAUUCUUCUGCACAUCAAAUCCAUCAAACAGAUUACAAAGCAAAAUUAUCCUUUCCCAGUGUAUGUUCUUGGUGCUUUAGGACAACUACCAUGUACAUCUUUCGAAAUGUGCGAAAUUUACUAAAUUCUUAUUGUUAGAGUUUCGAAUUUAUGUCCUGGUUUAACUGCCACAUUCAUUGGAGGGUGAACAUUUCGAUCUUGUCCAGCUUAUGGAAACGGAAAUCUGAGAUUCUUCCCGGCAGUCUACAGCCUACAGAGAGCGUAAUUUGUACGAUGUUUGUGUCUGUAUCUGUGGGGUAAAAGUGAUGCCCGUGUGUCAUACCUGCA
rnacentral:rRNA from 1 species